UCCGUAUUUGUAAAUACUAAUCCAAUUUUUUAAAAAUCUGCGUAUUUUAGUUGGAUUUAUAAAUACUACAUAUAUCUCUAAAUCAAUCAAAAUAUAUAAACCAAUAGAAUUUGAUAAACAACCAAUACAGUAAGCCCAACCAAAACCCAACAGUAAUACGAAACACGUGUCAAAAAACCUAGCCUUCAGCGUGUCUACUACGUGUCGUCCCUUAACUUUGUUGAGGAGAAAGCCACCGCUUAGUUUGCUGGAGAUCUCGCCGACCAUCUUCUCCGCCGAACAAGCAGGAAGAAAAAACAUUAACGAUGGCAAGGAUUAUCUAGAUUAAUUCCCUUGCAUGCCCUUUCCUCCAUUCUGCCGUUAACACCGUUGAGAUGUUGUGUCGUUCUCCAGAUGUGAAGAGAAGCAAUGAAGCUUCAGGAAAUUCCGGACAAAGAAUUUGCUGAAACGCUACUCUAAGCGAGGAGCUUCAACUCUACUGAGUCUGCAAAAAUUCUCAAGGCUUAAUCAGUCAACUCGAAAAUCUAAUGUGAUUUCAGAUACUUUGCCCAUAUUUAUUAAAGAAGGCAAAGAUUGACUCUUGUCAAGAUUAGAUCUCAAUAAUAACUAGAGAGAGACAAACGAACUCUCGAUAUUGAACGGGAUUUAAAUCCCUGUGAGAGGAAAGAAUGAUUAAAACCAAAAGGAUCUGCGUAAAGCGGAAGUUAUUAUCCACAACUGGAAGAAAUUUUCGCUACCGGAAUCUACAAUCGGACAAGCCGAAGAGAAAUCCAACCUAAAUCGGAUUGGAGCAAAAAACAAAAAGAGGGGUGGUGACCGAUGGCCAGAAAGAUUGUUCACCGGCCAACGAGCACGAUUUCAGUUUGGAUAAAAACUUAGAGUGAAGAUGGAGAAUUUAGUAUUAGACACAUCAAUCAUUAGUAGUCUUUACUUUCGCAGACUUCAAGCAAAUCUAUUUAUAUAAAGUUCAGUUUGAAUUCCUCCGAGGCCAUCCACAUAGACAGACACGUCAUCAAUUAGAGUAUUUUGAGGACGACACGUGUCUUUUUUAAUGAAACACAGCGUUUCUUCUUUUUUCUAUCGUCUCAGACAUUUGUGUUAUGCGUUUCUCAUCGAUAGCGAUGACUUUCCAGUUCCGUAAGAGGGCGUUGUGAUUUCUACGUCUUUAAUCUUAUUGUCUUUAAUCUCAUUAAAUCAGACGCCCACUAUGAUAGCUUCAGUUGCGUUGUUCAGUCGACGAUUUCCUGUAUAAAUAGGUUCGUAUUUCACUUUUGCGAAUCGUGGUGAAGAUUCCGCCGGCAGUCGAAAGCUCCUGGAAAGAUGUCUCCGGCGGAGGCUGGGGUUUCGCAAUGGCCACCUCAAGUUCUUCCUCACUCUUAUCUAGAAUCCGGGAAGCUGAUCACAUGCGGCUCGACGGACGAUCUAGGUCAAAGUUAUGUCACAUCAGGGAAGCACUGUUCGAGUUACUCUUUCAUAGGAGACUCCCGAGCCGUUUCCUCUGCGUCCGGAGGUUUGUGUACAGAAAACUGGAUGGGAUCAUUGUGUGGCGGUAACAGAGAGCCAUGAAGUUUAUACAUGGGGAUGGAAGGAAUGUAUACCCACAGGAAGAGUGUUUGGACAAGUGGAAGGAGAUUCGUGUGAAAUGAACACCUCCUUCUCCGCAGAACAAGGUAAAUCUCUUUUGCAUGUUAAAAUAUCUUAUGUAAUGACUGGUCUUAUAUCUCAUGUUCCAAGUGCUUCCAAAAGUUUCAACGCAGGUUUUCAUCUUCCACAUGUGCAUCAUGUAAUGAUGUAACACUGUUGGGAUUGUAAGGUAGUCCAUGUUGAACACAUUUCCAUUCACUCUCUCUAAGUAAUUUAAAACCAAUCUCAUUCCCAUACGUCAUAACAAGUUAUUGGGUGAAAAUGGCAUUCUCUGAUGCGUACGACUCUGCUAUGUUUGUGGGUAUUAAUGGUGAGAUGAACAAACUGACAAGCCUUUCUGCUGCUGCAGUUUCUCAAGCAAUGGUUGCAGAUACUAAUUCCCUUUCUUCUCUCUUUGCUGCUUUAUUAGAGACCUUAGUCCAUGUACUUAAACCUAUUUGACAUAUAUAAGAUGCAGGGAUGGCAAACCACAUAACCUUAACCUUCCAUGCCAAGCUCUCUAAGUUCAGACUUUUCAUCAAACAUAAAUCAUUCACCCUAGCCCUGAUAUUAGAUCAGAACCAACGCCAAUUCCUACUUUUGGUGGACAUGUCGGUAAUGAUAACUCGGGCAAUGAUAUGCUAGGUUCUGGAGCUGUUUAAAAAACUUACACCACUGAUGGUGUAAAGUGUGAACAGUUGUGUCGCUGUGAACAUCGUUGGCGUCGGUACUUUUGCUAUUAUUACAUAGUAUAAGUUAGUGAAAACUAUGUAAUGGUUAAUCUUCAAGAGUAUAGGAGUUUUGAACACUGUUGUGGACUUUAGCUGAUGCUCUACUACCACUUUUUAAAAAGAAUCCUCUAGACACAAGUAUUCUACCUCUUUCGGUCAUGCUAAUUAUUGCUUCUGAUUCUUUUUCC